AUUAUUUGUUCAUAAGUGUAAUGAUUGGGUGUCCAUGUGUUUGUGUAACAUGUGCCUCCCACAAACCUUGUUAUGACUUGGCAAGUUACCCAUCUGAUG